rnacentral:rRNA from 1 species
GACGAACGCUGGCGGCGUGCCUAAUACAUGCAAGUAGAACGAACAGACGAGGAGCUUGCUCUUCUGACGUUAGCGGCGGACGGGUGAGUAACACGUGGGUAACCUGCCUAUUAGAGGGGGAUAACUAUGGGAAACGAGAGCUAAUACCGGAUAAUAAUUUAUGACACAUGUUAUAUUAGUGAAAGACGCUAUUGCUGUACUACAUAGAUGAACUGCCUUGUAUUAAGUAGUAUGUGAAGUUAUGGCUUUACUAAGCCACGAUUCAUUGCCGACCUGAGGAGGUGAUCGGCCACACUGGGAACUGGACACGGCCCAGACUCCUACGGGAGGCAGCCGUAGGGAAUCUUCGGCAAUGGGGGCAACCCUUACCGAGCAACGCCGCGGGAGGUAAGAAGGGUUUCGGAUCCUAAAGCUCUGUUGAAAGUCAAGAACGAGUGUGAGAGUGGACAGUUCACACUGUGACGGUAGCUUACCAGAAAGGCACGGCUAACUACGUG